GAAUAUCUCGUACACUAAGCGUUUGCGGUACCUAUAACCCUAUAUAAUUUUUAAUCAGGAGGACUUCCUCUUUGUAACGGUAGCUUCUGAUCACGGCGCCAAAGAAAUCGGAAUUGUGCCAAAUGUUACUACAGCUCAAGAAAUAAGGAAUUUUUUUUCUUGAGCAUGUACUUGAGUGCUGGAAACUAACAUUUAUAUACAAAUAUCUCGAAAACUAUAGGUCUGAGAUUGAAAUAAUUGAAACCGUUUUCAAUACGUUUUCGAUGCAGCUGAAUUUACUUGCCGACUAGAUAAAAUACAUUCCGUGGCUAAUAGAUGGCGCUACUUUCGAAAUCAUUGAAUCACAAAAUCGAAAAUAUUUUUCGAAAUCUAUCCGCAUCUAUCGAGCAUUUCGGAAAUAAAUGCUUUUUGAGAAGACACUUUAGAAAACUUGAGCGCUCAAAUGUCAAAGACAAGACUGGAUCGAAAAAGGAGGUGGGCCCUUCAACCAAGUAAAUUUAAGUUCCCUCGAAAAGGAGGUAAGUGCUAUACUUUCCUCUAAUACAUCAGUAGAGGGAUUGAAAGGUAUACAAAGUCUUGGAACAUCAACACACAUUUGAAAUGACAUCCCUGGUACAAGUAAGAAGACACCAAUCGACGACAUUUCUUCCCAGCCCCAAAUGCAAAAUGAAAUCAAAUUUGUCGUCUGACCAGCUGUACACCGCACAAGAAACAGAAAAUAAACAAAAUAGGUCUACUUGAGGAGAAAAUAAAUAUCCAAAAAAAUAUGCAGGACAAUGUAUCAAAAGUUCUAAACACGCUUAUGAAGCAACUAGCGAACAUGCACAAGAACAGUCUGAAACAAAAAGAUGGAUUAGAAAACUCUAUGAAAUUGCAAAAGAUAAAUUUAAGGAAAUGAAGCGACAUAAUGCUGUGAGGGAAAAAAUAUCCAUUGAUAAAUUAGAAACCAAAAAAAAAUUAGAACUUGAAUUAUUUUUUUAUUGUAACGUAACAAAGAUAUACAGACAUGUAGUAACAAUAUCAUAGUAAAGGUAUCAUAUUAUUCUGUAUACUGCGUUGGUGACCCACAUGACAAUGUAGUAAACUCAAAUACUAGCUUUGUUUCAUAGGCAUUAAAUAUUUCUAAAAAAUUUUAAACAAUAAAUAUGUUGUGUGUUAUGGAGAAAAUAAGUUCAAUUAUUUAAAAUACUCUAAAGUUAAUCUAUUUUCAAGGCAAAAAAGCGAUUUGGUUAAGUUUCUCUAGAAUCCUAACAUAAAAUGAGGCAUUUCCUGCUUUUCCGGAAGAAAAAUUGUGAAAAAUGUUUUGUUUUCCAUUUCUUUAAUUAAAUUUUUAAGCCAUUUUGACAGAAUAUUUCGAAGAUCUUUUGUGUAAAAGCUUUUAGCAAAGUUUGUUAUCUGUACUAGGGUAAACCUCCUACAACGCGUUUUCGCUCCAACGCAGUUCCCAAAUGCGGACAUUUUUUUACAACGCGAUUUUUACGAAAAAAUUUUCAAAUAUUUACUAAUUUAAUUUGAAAAAGGUUUUCUUGCCCAAAUAAAAUUCUUUGCAUUUUGUCCAUACUUUGAUUCCGUUGAAAUUGUUGAUGCGUCACUUAAAGUUAUUCGUCUUUCAACACUAAAAGCUUGCUGAAAAGCACUAUAACCGGAAAAAGACGUUCAGGGCACUGUUUCAACACCAAUAGAAGAUGAAUAUAGGAACAUAGUGAAAUUGGCGCAUGCAGUAGAAGGUGAUGGAUUUGAUAAAAUAACAAUGGCUGAUAUUCAAGAAUUAAUUGCGGACGACGAAAUAAACAACGCAGAUUUAGUGACAAUGACAAAUGAAGAAUCAGUUGGAGGUAGCUCUGGCGAUCUUUAGGAUGUUGAAAAUAAAAACUUUUUGCCAAAAAAUAUCGAGAAAGUUUCAAAUAUGGCAAAGCAGUUGGAAGAAUACAUUUUGGAGAACGACCCUUUAAGUGACAGAGCAGAAAUAUUUAAACGAAAUUUUCAAAACAAUUUAGCUCCCUAUCAAAAAAUUUAUAAAGAUUUGCGAAAUAAGAGCAAAAAAACUUUAAUGCACGAUUUUGUCAAAUCAAUAAUAGUCGAAAAUCUAAUUGUGGAUCAAGCUCAGAUUUUGAACUAGUACGAACAAAACGUUCGAAACAAAUCAUACUAAGUGAUGAGAAGGAGUAGAAAGUUAUCGUUCUAUUUUGGCUCUAAUUUAUUAAAUCUUUUAACUUGAAUAUUUUACGU
rnacentral:lncRNA from 1 species